rnacentral:lncRNA from 1 species
GGCCGGCCGGGCGGGUCAGAGCUGGAAGGGUGGGCCGCUACGCCGCGCCCCCCGACGCCGGCAAGGAGCCAGCACCUCCACGGUGCUAAGAGGGGCGCUGCGCUGCUGGCCAGGCGGGGGUGGAGGGGCGAGGCGGCAACUGCGAGAGGAGAAACGUUUGCCCUCUUUUCGCAGCGUCUCCUGGCUCAGACCAGUGCUAGAAGUGUCCAGUCUAGCAGCUCCUGGACCAAGACUCCGUGGCCAUUCCCUUCCUCCUGCCUUCCAUCCACCCCCUUACGAUACAGAAGUUGAGAUACAGAGAGGUGAAGGAACUUGUCCCAGGCCCUACAGCUAAUGCAAGAUGAGAAACUGCGGGACGAGACAGAGCAGCCUGUGAGCAAAGUAAUUGAGCGGAACCGUCUGAGAACGGUGUUAAAAAACUUGUCGCUCUUGAAGCUACUCAAGAGCUCAAACCGCCGGAUCCAAGAACUGCAUAAGCUGGCCAAAAGGUGUUGGCAUUCACUGCUCAGUGUUCCAAAGAUUCUCCGCAUCUCCUCUGGGUAAGCUGGGGCCUG